rnacentral:rRNA from 1 species
GACGAACCGUGCGAACGUUAUUCGGAAUCACUGGGCUUAAAGGGCGCGUAGGCGGGUUCUCAAGUCAGGGGUGAAAUCCCGCGGCUCAACCGUGGAAGUGCCUUUGAUACUGGGGACCUCGAGGGAGGUAGGGGCGUGCGGAACUUCCGGUGGAGCGGUGAAAUGCGUAGAGAUCGGAAAGAACACCAACGGCGAAAGCACUCUGCUGGGCCGACACUGACACUGAGAGACGAAAGCUAGGGGAGCGAAUGGG